rnacentral:rRNA from 1 species
CAAUAGCGUAUAUUAAAGUUGUUGCAGUUAGAACGCUCGUAGUCGGAUUUCGGGGCGGGCCGACCGGUCUGCCGAUGGGUAUGCACUGGUCGGCGCGUCCUUCCUUCCGGAGACCGUCCCUACUCUUAACUGAGCGGGGGCGGGAGACGGGACUUUUACUUUGAAAAAAUCAGAGUGUUUCAAGCAGGCAGCUCGCUCUUGCAUGGAUUAGCAUGGGAUAAUGAAAUAGGACUUUGGUGCUAUUUUGUUGGUUUCGAACACCGAAGUAAUGAUGAGAAGGGACAGUCAGGGGCACUCGUAUUCCGCCGAGAGAGGUGAAAUUCUCAGACCAGCGGAAGACGAACCACUGCGAANGNAUUUGCNAGGGAUGUUUNCACUG